UCAACGAUCUUCAAUUCAAAUCCAGUCCUAGUCCUUUUUUUUCAAAUAUCAGCAACCAUUUCGCCUCUGGUAUCCCCUUGUAACAAUUUCCUCCCCUUCAAACACACCAUUGUCCUCAAAGGCAAAUCCUGGAAAUCUGAGAGAUAGUUCAUCCGUAAACUCCCAUGUAGCCUCUGAUGGUGGACAUCCCUUCCAAAGUACAAGAACCUGGGUAGCUGCUUGGUUACGUCUUUUCACCAUUCAUCAAUCCAAGAUGGCUUGAGGUUGCGACUUGCGAGGUAGGCUCCAGUGACUCUACAGGAGGAGGCCAAUCCACUACUAAUCUCUACUCCAGGAAGCUCCUCUCAUUUCCACCAUGAGCUUCAGUCAUGAUAGCAGUCCUUGGAUACAACCUGUGAGCAGACUUCACUAGUGGCAACAGUGCAGCCUGUGGUUUUCCUCUGUCAAGCAGACCAGCAACUCUCAGCCCAGCAACGUGAGCAGCGAACCUCUCUACACCAGCGUUUCAGCCAUUCCUCAUCAGUAGUGCAUUUUAAUUCAUAUAGUUUUUCUUCUUUUUUUUUUAGCCAUUUGCAGGUUGAGUCCUUAAACUUUGAAGUCUCUUCAAUCAUAUGCCUCAUGUUUGUGUACUAGUUUAUAUGAUUGACAUGUUUAACUUGAGUGAAAUGUUGCUUGAUAUGAUUUUAUUUUUGUGA